rnacentral:rRNA from 1 species
AUGCUCGGUGGAUGUACCGCCCACUCCAGGUUCAAAAUUCCGGUUAAGCUCAUGGAUAAUAGCAUCCGCAGCUUCACCAAGCAGAGUGGUACUGCGGAGUUGCUUCGGAGAGCAUCUCUCAUAAUUUGGGAUGAGGUUACCAGGACGAAGCGUCAAGCAAUUGAGGCACUUGAUAGGUCACUACAGGAUAUCAUGGGAUGUGUUAUGCCAUUUGGGGGGAAGGUUGUGGUGUUUGGAGGGGAUUUUAGGCAGGUCCUUCCCGUGGUCCCGCGUGGGACAAGAGCACAAAUCACUGACGCCACGCUGCAAAGAUCAUAUCUAUGGGAGAGAAUUAGACAAAUACGCCUCAUGCGUAAUAUGAGAACACAGACUGACCCGUGGUUCUCCAAAUACCUCUUGAGAAUUGGCAAUGGAACGGAGGAGACGAUUAGUCAUGAUUAUGUGCGUCUGCCUGAUGACAUUUUGAUAGGUUACACACCUGGUGACGCACCAGUCAUGAAGCUUAUUGAACACGUGUUCCCAUCUCUUCAUGAGAACGCAUCAUCCAGUGCCUACAUGAGCACACGUGCUAUUCUUUCUACCAAGAAUGAGCAUGUGGACAACCUAAAUGCAAAGAUGAUUGACAGAUUUCCCGGCCAAGAAAAGGUAUACUAUAGCUUUGAUUCUGUCAAUGAUGAUACACGCAAUAACUACCCAAUUGACUAUCUGAACAACCACACUCCAAAUGGCUUGCCUCCCCAUAUUUUGAAAGUUAAAGUUAAUUGUCCUAUCAUUCUGCUCCGGAAUCUCGAUCCUAAUAAUGGACUUUGCAAUGGAACGAGAUUGAUGAUUAGAGCUUUCCAAAAUAACGCAAUCGACGCGGAGAUUGUUGGUGGACAACAUGCUGGAAAGAGAGUGUUCAUCCCUAGGAUCCCGAUGGCACCCUCGGAGGAUAUUUCACUUCUUUCAAGUUGA